rnacentral:rRNA from 1 species
UACGGGGGGAGCAAGCGUUGUUCGGAUUUACUGGGCGUAAAGGGCGCGUAGGCGGCGCAACAAGUCACUUGUGAAAUCUCCGGGCUUAACCCGGAGCGGUCAAGUGAUACUGUCGUGCUAGAGUGCGGAAGGGGCUACUGGAAUUCUCGGUGUAGCGGUGAAAUGCGUAGAUAUCGAGAGGAACACCUGCGGCGAAGGCGGGUUGCUGGGCUGACACUGACGCUGAUGCGCGAAAGCCAGGGGAGCGAACAGG